rnacentral:rRNA from 1 species
UACAGGGGGGGCAAGCGUUGUUCGGAAUUACUGGGCGUAAAGGGUCUGUAGGUGGCCAACUAAGUCGGAUGUGAAAUCCCUAGGCUUAACCUGGGAACUGCAUCCGAUACUGGAUGGCUUGAAUCCGGGAGAGGGAUGCAGAAUUCCAGGUGUAGCGGUGAAAUGCGUAGAUAUCUGGAGGAAUACCGGUGGCGAAGGCGGCAUCCUGGACCGACAUUGACGCUGAUGAGCGAAAGCCAGGGGAGCAAACGGG